AAACAUUAGCUCCAAUAAAUGUUCAAAAUAUAAGACAGCCACCUUCAAAUAGAAAUUAAAUAACAACUAAAGCAUCCAAUGGAACAUAAUUUCACUCUUCAUCACUAAAUGUUUCCUCAUAAACAUGACUUUAUCCAAAACAAAACCUCAUACCAUUACAAAUUGCCUUUUAAGCAGAAGCUACUGCAACCUUCUUUCUUGGUGCUGCUUUAGUAGCUAUACAUCACCCCCAAUAAAAAAUAAGAACAUUUUGAAAGAAAAAAUAAAAUCCAAAAUUUCUUACAGGAACAGAAAUACGCAAUGGAACUAAAAUCAGAAUGCAAUGAGCCUAAGGACAUUAGCAUUUUCCUACCUUCCCUGAAACCUGUCUUGAACCUACGAGGAACGUGGCGAAGAUACCUCUAUACACCGGUGAUGGAGAUGUUAGCCUCAUCUAAUUAAAACCAACAGCUAGAAACACAAAUAAUCACACAAGUUAAAAAACCCAAAAUAAGUACUUAAACACUUCAAUUUGCAACAUUUAAGCACUUCAAUUUACAACAUUUAAACACUUCAAUUUGCAGCAUUUAAACACUUCAAUUUGCAGCACUUUAACAUCUCAAUUACCAACAUUUAUACACCUCAAUUACAGCGAUAAAACAUCUCAAUGUCCAGCAACUAAACACUUCAAUUUGCAGUACUUAAACACUUCAAUUUGCAACAUUUAAGCCCUUCAAUUUACAGCAUUUAAACACUUCAAUUUACAGCAUUCAAACACUUCAAUUUGUAGCACUUUAACACUUCAAUUUACAGCAUUCAAACACUUCAAUUUGUAGCACUUUAACACUUCAAUUUACAGCAUUUCAACACUUCAAUUUACAGCAUUCAAACACUUCAAUUUGCAGCACUUUAACACUUCAAUUUACAGCAUUAAAACACUUCAAUUUGCAGCACUUUAACAUUUCAAUUAACAACAUUUAAACACUACAAUUUACAGCAUUCAAACACUUCAAUUUGCAGCACUUUAACACUUCAAUUUACAGCAUUAAAACACUUCAAUUUGCAGCACUUUAACAUUUCAAUUAACAACAUUUAUACACCUCAAUUACAACAAUAAAACAUCUCAAUUUCCAGCAACUAAAC
rnacentral:lncRNA from 1 species